AAACUUCUUGAUGCGCGCCCUCACCUCGCGCCGGCUCUGGCCAGAGGCCGUCCGUGGGCCACCACGUCGGAAGUCUUUUCCGGUGGCGGCAGCCACCGAAACAUGAACCAAAUACCCUAACCAAAUUGCCUCCACCUCCCUAAGUCGAAACUAUACUCCAAUUCGAGCAGAAACGAAUUCAUCAUUAUGAAUCUAACUCUAGAAUUCAAGAACCCUAGAGGCAAGAAUGUGAACUAAACCGUGAUGCCUAGGAUUCAGAGUCCUAAUUGUUAGGGUUUUGAGUUGCCUUGAGCUAUGCUUCAAACAUAUGACAUGGUUUCAAAGAGAGGGCGAAGAAGAACCUACCUUCGAAGCUAAGGAUCGCUUCGGCGAGAUGUUUGAUCGGAGAAGACAAAAUAAACUAAGGAAAAUCACUUGAUCAAAAGGUUUUACCAGGUACUGGGCUUGAUUUACCUGUCAAUUGAUGGGGAUUAAUUCUAAUGCUAGACACUUGAGCGGAUCCUGCAUUGUUAUGGCUUUGGUGGUUGCCCUGCAGGUCAUCUGGCAUUUGUUUUGUUGCAGAUAUAUGUAGUGUCAAUAUGUUAUGUUAAUGAAGCCCGCUGUUUCAAAGAUGCUUCCAAGGUUUUUGAGAUAACAUCAUCUGCCACGACUUGCUUACCUUGACUGGAAGCGUUAAUUCAUCAUUAUCUUUCUUGGGUUGAUUAUCAGAAAGAUGGAAAUAGAUCAUUGUCGGGUUAGAAUUUCCUUGUGCCCCAAAUCUGCUCUUUGAACUACCAAUUAUGCAAUUCUGUCUCAUAGUUUUACUCGCAGGUGCAGCUGGUGUGUGUAUGCAUUAAUACUUAUGGAUUAUUGUGAGGCAAUAAUGGAUGGUAAGUAGUUUCGUCAUGUUAAUUUGGACUCAGUUGGUGUGAAUUAGAAUAACUUGAAGCAAUGCAUUGAGCAAUCUUGAAGUGGAAGUGGUCAUUACUCAUUCUGCAACAGGUGAAUGGCUUACAUUUCUGACUUGGUGCGUUCAUGGCCAUGGUCCAUUGGCUUAUAUGUUGCAUCAUGCUUCCAUACUGCAGAGUACUCAUUGGUUCAUGUCACGAUUUGUCUUGCCAUCUUGAUUCCAUGCCAUGAUUUUAUAUGUUAUGAUUUGGACUUGUGCUUUGCCUCUUGCUCAUGUAGGUCUCUUGGACAAUGCAUCGUGACAUCAAGUUUGGAUUUUUUGACUAUCAUGUACAAAAGGCAAGAACCCAAGGGUCAAGGAUCAAAAUUUGACCUUAGGAUUAGAAUUAGGACUAGGACUUAGGGUUUUAGGAUGAAAAGGACUUGGGUUGACUUUGGUCAAGGUUGACCAAAAAGUCAACCGUUGACCAAAGUUAACCGUUGACCAAAGUCAACAUUUGGUCAACAUGUAAUUGUUUUGUACUUUUCUCAUGUAAUGGAUAUUUUAUGGAUGAGAUUGAAUGGUAUUGGCCAAUUGAAUGAAAAUGAACUGAUUUAGUA